rnacentral:lncRNA from 1 species
AGAUUUCGACCAUGUUGUUUCCGGUGGAUACUCGAACCAGGGUUGUGCCACAAGCCCCGGUGGGAUUUGCUGGAAAUGCAUUGGUCCCUGGGUUCGCAAGAGCCAGCGUGAAGGAGCUGAAAGAGGAAGAGUAUUCAAGCCUAGUGAGGAGAGUGCAGGAAGGGAUUGAGAGGUUGGAUGAUGAGUAUGUGAGGUCUGGUAUUGACUGGUUAGAGGUGAAUAGAGGGGUACCUUGUAGAGAAGACAGCUUCUCACUUGUAGCGUGGUGGAGGCUGGGCUUGGAAGAAGAGGAGUUCGCUUGGGGUAGACUUAAAUGUGCUUCUCCAGUAGUUGUUAAACCAGGCAUUGUCUUCCUGUUGCCAGGGCCGACAGCUGAGGGAGGGCUCAACAUUUUCCUGGAACUGGAAGGAGAC